ACAGCAGCCGCCGCGGUAAUACGGAGGGUGCAAGCGUUAAUCGGAAUUACUGGGCGUAAAGCGCACGCAGGCGGUCUGACAAGUCAGAUGUGAAAUCCCCGGGCUUAACCUGGGAACUGCAUUUGAAACUGUCAGGCUGGAGUCUUGUAGAGGGGGGUGGAAUUCCAGGUGUAGCGGUGAAAUGCGUAGAGAUCUGGAGGAAUACCGGUGGCGAAGGCGGCCCCCUGGACAAAGACUGACGCUCAGGUGCGAAAGCGUGGGGAGCAAACAGGAUUAGAUACCCCGGUAGUCCCUGUCUCUUAUAC
rnacentral:rRNA from 1 species